rnacentral:rRNA from 1 species
AUUGAACGCUGGCGGCAGGCCUAACACAUGCAAGUCGAACGAGUGGCGGACGGGUGAGUAAUGUCUGGGAAACUGCCUGAUGGAGGGGGAUAACUACUGGAAACGGUAGCUAAUACCGCAUACCAUCGGAUGUGCCCAGAUGGGAUUAGCUAGUAGGUGGGGUAAAGGCUCACCUAGGCGACGAUCCCUAGCUGGUCUGAGAGGAUGACCAGCCACACGGGAGAUGUAACACGGUCCAGACUCCUACGGGAGGCAGCAGUGGGGAAUGUUGCAAGAUGGGCGAAAGCUUGAACCAGCCAUGCCGCGGGGAGGAAUAAGGCCUUCGGGUUGGAAAGUACUUUCAGCGGCGAGGCGUUACCCGAAUAAGAUGCACCGGCUAACUCCGUGCCAGCAGCCGCGGUAAUAC